rnacentral:pre_miRNA from 1 species
UAAGUACUCCCUCCGUCCGGAAAUACUUGUCGGAGAAAUGGAUAAAAAUAAAUGUAUCUAAAACUAAAAUACGUCUAGAUACACCCAUUCCUCCGACAAGUAUUUUCGGACGGAGGGAGUAUGUA